GAUGAACGCUGGCGGCGUGCUUAACACAUGCAAGUCGAACGGGAAACCUUUUAUUGAAGCUUCGGCAGAUUUAGCUGGUUUCUAGUGGCGGACGGGUGAGUAACGCGUGGGUAACCUGCCUUAUACAGGGGGAUAACAGUCAGAAAUGGCUGCUAAUACCGCAUAAGCGCACAGAGCUGCAUGGCUCAGUGUGACAAACUCCGGUGGUAUAAGAUGGACCCGCGUUGGAUUAGCUGGUUGGUGGGGUAACGGCCCACCAAGGCGACGAUCCAUAGCCGGCCUGAGAGGGUGAACGGCCACAUUGGGACUGAGACACGGCCCAGACUCCUACGGGAGGCAGCAGUGGGGAAUAUUGCACAAUGGGGGAAACCCUGAUGCAGCGACGCCGCGUGAAGGAAGAAGUAUCUCGGUAUGUAAACUUCUAUCAGCAGGGAAGAUAAUGACGGUACCUGACUAAGAAGCCCCGGCUAACUACGUG
rnacentral:rRNA from 1 species